rnacentral:lncRNA from 1 species
UGGUGGCAGAAGCGGUGAAAUAAUACAGCGGCAGACUCCAGGAUCACAAGACUGACUGGGACUCCUCUAAACAUCGAACUCGCUAUUGAACUCUUCAUCGAUGAGGUCUCCUUCAUCCAUAUUUGGCCACAUCAACAAGCCAGUGAGCCCUACGAAAAGUUCUCGCAAACUUUUUGCACAGAAGAUGCGAUGCAUGCAGUCAAUUAUUAAUAUGCAUGGUUCACAUCAUAAUUUAUCAAAAGGAUGCGUUAGAAGUAAAUUAAGUUAGAGGAUAAAUUAUUAAUAUGCAUUGAUCGGCUGUCUGGAGAGACGCCUCGAAAGGUUAACAAGGGUUAGUUACCACCGUCGGGCAUCUCAGUGACACCUCAUAUAGGGCAUAAAUAAAUAGCAAGCCACAAACGGGAAUCUUAGCGACACCACAUAAAGGACAUAAAGAUAAAUAAGAAGCCAUAGUCGGGCGUCUUAGUGACACCACAGAA